UACGUAGGGGGCUAGCGUUGUCCGGAAUCAUUGGGCGUAAAGCGCGUGUAGGCGGUCCGGUAAGUCCGCUGUGAAAGUCGGGGGCUCAACCCUCGAAUGCCGGUGGAUACUGUCGGGCUAGAGUGCGGAAGAGGCGAGUGGAAUUCCUGGUGUAGCGGUGAAAUGCGCAGAUAUCAGGAGGAACACCGGUGGCGAAGGCGGCAUCCUGGACCGACAUUGACGCUGAGGCGCGAAAGCCAGGGGAGCAAACGGG
rnacentral:rRNA from 1 species